GAUGAGGUUACCUGGUCUGGCUUCUGGUCAGUACUGGGUCAACUGAGUCUUUUUCUUGGGGAGUAACGGGUGCUCUUCAUUGAGUGCUCUUAGGAACCAAGACGAUUACUUUGAAAAAAUUAGAGUGUUUAAAGCAAGCUAUUGCUUGAAUACAUUAGCAUGGAAUAAUAAAAUAGGACGAUGGUUCUAUUUUGUUUGUUUGAGGACCACUGUC
rnacentral:rRNA from 1 species